rnacentral:rRNA from 1 species
GACGAACGCUGGCGGCGUGCCUAAUACAUGCAAGUAGAACGCACAGUUUAUACCGUAGCUUGCUACACCAUAAACUGUGAGUUGCGAACGGGUGAGUAACGCGUAGGUAACCUGCCUGGUAGCGGGGGAUAACUAUUGGAAACGAUAGCUAAUACCGCAUAAUAUUGAUUAUUGCAUGAUAAUUGAUUGAAAGAUGCUAUUGCAUCACUACCAGAUGGACCUGCGUUGUAUUAGCUAGUAGGUGAGGUAACGGCUCACCUAGGCGACGAUACAUAGCCGACCUGAGAGGGUGAUCGGCCACACUGGGACUGAGACACGGCCCAGACUCCUACGGGAGGCAGCAGUAGGGAAUCUUCGGCAAUGGACGAAAGUCUGACCGAGCAACGCCGCGUGAGUGAAGAAGGGUUUCGGAUCGUAAAGCUCUGUUGUAAGAGAAGAACGGGUGUGAGAGUGGAAAGUUCACACUGUGACGGUAGCUUAACAGAAAGGGACGGCUAACUACGUG